UAACAUACCAUGUACAAUAACCAUCCUGGACAUCUGGAUGUCCAGUAUUACAGUGGAAUGAGUUGAUUUUGCACCUGUAAAACUGAAACUGAUUUCUAACUUCCUCUCCUUCUUCAGCAGGGUGAUCUGCAUUGGUUUUAGACAUCAAUCUAUAUAGCCCCGGUCUUCCAAUCUAUGGUUGAGCUUUAUCUUCUGCUGGUAUGCGGCGACAUCAAGCAGAGUCAUCAUUGACAAAUGGAUCUGUUUAAGAUUGUUUGAUGUCAGGUAUGGACUUCAAUCAUAUAGUAAAAAGGCAAUAGGAGAGACACAUGAAACACAAUUUGGCCCUAAAGCAUAUGCUAACAAUGGGGUGUUACUGAUAAGCAACCUUGAUUUGGUAUAUGUGAGACAAGUUGUCAUAUAGUUCUAAGCAUGUUUCUAUAAACUGUUGUAAUUAGGCUAGGGUAAUUUAUAAAGAUGAUGGCCAUAGAACAUAAAUACUCUCUCUGUACACUAAUAUAAGACAUUUUGCAGUUCAAUUUAAACUGCAAAAACGUCUUAUGUUAGUGUAAAAAGGGAGUAUGAUAUAGAUGAAGUAAACACUGCAUUUUCACAAAAAUAGUGAUAUUAUGAUUGAACAUAGAUUCAGAGGCGAUAAAUCAUUACUACCGACCAUACUUCAUUGUGCGCCCAUAAUCCACAAAAUCAGAAGCAAACGCAUGCUCAAUAGUCUUAAUCCUAAUGAUAGAUUUAAGGGAAAUGACGCACAUGGGUAGCGUUGGAGGAGGCACCCAUAUUUCCUUGAGCAUAUAUUCGACUUUGCGCUGAGCAUCGGUAAUAAGUCUUGCCCUUGAUGCAAUAAUAGGCUUGGC
rnacentral:lncRNA from 1 species